rnacentral:rRNA from 1 species
AGAGUUUGAUCAUGGCUCAGAAUCAACGCUGGCGGCGUGCCUAACACAUGCAAGUCGAACGAGAAAGUGGAGCAAUCCAUGAGUACAGUGGCGACCGGGUGAGUAACACGUGAUCAACCUACCCUCGAGUGGGGGAUAACUCCGGGAAACCGGAGCUAAUACCGCAUAAUAUCUUCGGUCCACAUGAACUGAUGAUCAAAGGAGCAAUUCGCUUGAGGAGGGGGUCGCGGCUGAUUAGCUAGUUGGUAGGGUAAUGGCCUACCAAGGCUUAGAUCGGUAUCCGGCCUGAGAGGGCGCACGGACACACUGGAACUGAAACACGGUCCAGACUCCUACGGGAGGCAGCAGUGGGGAAUUUUGCGCAAUGGGGGAAACCCUGACGCAGCAACGCCGCGUGGAGGGUGAAGUCCCUUGGGACGUAAACUCCUUUCGACCGGGAAGAUACUGACGGUACCGGAUGAAGAAGCACCGGCUAACUCUGUGCCAGCAGCCGCGGUAAUACAGAGGGUGCGAGCGUUGUUCGGAAUUAUUGGGCGUAAAGGGCGCGUAGGCGGCGCGGUAAGUCACCUGUGAAAUCUCCUGGCUCAACUGGGAGCUUGCAGGCGAAACUGCCGUGCUGGAGUGUGGGAGAGGUGCGUGGAAUUCCUGGUGUAGCGGUGAAAUGCGUAGAUAUCAGGAGGAACACCUGUGGCGAAAGCGGCGCACUGGACCACAACUGACGCUGAGGCGCGAAAGCUAGGGGAGCAAACAGGAUUAGAUACCCUAGUAGUCC